rnacentral:lncRNA from 1 species
AGUCCAGCCCAUGCAGCUACUGCAAUGGAUGCCUUACAAGGUGAGCUGUCCAUACCUGCUAUUGGUAACAUUAAUCUUGUGGCUGAUUUCGCUGUAGGCUUGAAGUAUAUUCAGUGUUCUAUAUCCUUCCCUCUUUUUGGGAAGCCUGUAAAAAUGGCUACAAAAAUUAAGGCUACAACAGUUAAAAGGUGUCUUUUGCUUAUCCAAGAAAAAAAGGCUUCAGAAGAUAAAAACUGUAAGAAACAAUUAGGUUACAAUAUUAGAACUAUCUGGCAUUUAAAUUUGGCUGUGAUGGACUUGAAGGUAAUGACUUUAUUAAAAACAGAAAAAGAAAAAGUCAGCAAGUUUCCCCGUCAAGAGUGUGAACAUGACUGUUUAUAACUUUAUAUUAUACUCUUAAGGCUCUCUAAAAAUUAGCUUAAAUGUUGGUGGCACUUUUAUGAUCAGUUAGGUGUUUGCUCACGUAAUUCCGCUAGAUACUUCUAAUUGUAGACUCUUUUGGUGUUUGCUCUCUUUAUUUGAUCACUUGCAUCUGAGACUUUGUAACUUAUGUUUUUCUAGCAUGAAAAAUUCUCCUGCCAUUCCUGCGAAACACAAAAGGUUCUAUAGACAAAAAUGGCUAUGUAGCCCUAAUUUAACAAAUUUCAUACAUAUGUUUUGUCUCAUUCCUUCCCUUCCCUUGCACAUCUGCAGUCGAAUUGAAGCACAUUCCAAAAGUGAUGGUUUUGCCAAAAGCACCUGAAAUGGAGUACAAGUGUCAGUUUUUAUUUUUUCUCUCAGACUUUAUACUUGCAAUUCAUAAAAUUGAUGCCUCCAUUCCUUCAACAAAAACAAACAAUAUCUUCCCCCAAAGUUGGCUAACCAGUAAUGUUUUCUUUGCUUUUUUUUGGGUGGGGGUUGGGGUAGGGGGUGGAUGCUCCAUCUUGGUUUGUCUAUUCCUUCUUUUCCCGCCUUUUCUAAAUGUCCAUUACAAUGCGUGGCCUUAAUAAGCUAAUCUGGAGAGUGGACAUCCCUUUCCUGAUUCUUUGUAAUCCUUAGUUUCUAGAUCCUUUACUCUCAGUUAUACAUAUGCCAUCUCCUUAUAAAUGCAGAACUGGGUCUAGCAUUUUCUUGUUUUUGGGUUUGUUAGAACACUUCAAAAUACUUUUCCAAACAUUUUUUAGACGUGACAUACAUUCCUCAUUGUUGAAUAUUGGGUUCUCAAAAUUUCUCAGAGAGAAGCUUCUACAAAAUGCAGGAUUAGCAACUUCAAAUAAUUAUAACGUUACAUUUGAGUGUUGAGGAACUCGUAGCUUUGAAAAUUGAGCUAAUCUUACUGCGUGUUGCUGUUUCUGGAUAAAUGCCGAGUGCUUAAAAUCAAUUAUAAAUGGUAUCCCUCCUGUUGCUCGGUCAAGGGGGGAAAUGCAAUCUUCUUUAUGAUUUUCUAAAAGUGCUUUCAACUGAUUGAGGACCCAAAAGAAGACACAUGCAUGUGGUGGAAACUUGACGCUUGCUUUUUCUGGCAGAGAUGAUUGCCUUGCUGUCCUGCUCUAGGCUAUUGUAUUCUUUUUUCCCUGUUUUGGCACAUUACUCUUCUGGGAUUGCUUUAAGGGAAGCAUUGCCUGGGAUUACUUGUUGCAAGGCAUUUUGAUUUAAAAUUGAUCUGCUCUUUAGACUUUUCACCAGUGGUUUAGUUUGUCAAAUGUUUUGAAAGUUCAUGGGUUAGAGCUACAGUAGUCCAAUUGAGAUAAAUCUUAAUGCAGCCGAUCUGUAAUUCAGUAUUCUACUUGAAGAAACUGGAGAAUGGAUUCCCUCCUGGAGAAUGUUUUAAUUAAAUACGAAUAAAUUCAAAGUUUUAACUCCCCAUUGAGGGGUUUUUUAUGCGGUUUGUCCACUUUUAGCCUCCAGCUACAUCUCAAGACUCGACCUACAAAUUUUAACGGAGACAUCAAAUUUGUUUGGUUGGUACAAUUUUUGUGAUGUAAAUGAUAUAAUUCAAUUUUUGUAUUUUGUGGGCUCUAACUUAUUUUAGGAGCCAGGGAUGCCCUUUAAUGAAAUCUGUACUUUAUAAAGAAAAAGACAAAUUUUAACGGAGACUGGAUCUGGAUCAUCUGUCUAAAAAAGCCAUCUGAAAUGUUGAGUAUGAUAGUUGCCGUUUACUAGACCCGUCAAAAAAAUUAGGUCUCCGCAUUUAUCUUGCCUCAAACAAGCAGAGAGUGAUCAAGUUAUUCAGUUCUUCUGUAGUUUGUUAUCUUGUUUCUUUGAGUGACUUGCAUGUUAACACUUUUUCCUAGUAGUUGGACUUCCAUAAAGGUAAAAAGAAAUUUGUACAAGGUACUGUCUGUAGCUUUGCCAGGGUUUGAGUUGCAUGAUCUGGUGAGAUCUAGUUGCAAAUUUCAUGGGUUGGUCGCGUGCUUUAAUUUUUAUUAUAAAGUGAUCCUCU